GACGAGGGGAGCGAGCGUUGUUCGGAAUCACUAGGGCGUAAAGGGCGCGUAGGGCGGCGCAGUUCAGAUCCGGCGUGGAAAGCCCCGAGCUCAACUUGGGAAAUGCGCUUGAUAACUAUUGUGCUAGAGAGCGGGAGAGGAUGGUGGAAUUCCCAGUGAGAGGUGAAAGUUGUAGACUAGUUGGGAAGAACACCAGUGGCGAAGGGCGGCU
rnacentral:rRNA from 1 species